UGUGGGAGCUGGCUUGCCAGCGAUGGCUUUGGCACAUCCAAAAUUGAGUCCGACUGACCCACCGCUAUCGCUGGCAAGCCAGCUCCCACA
rnacentral:antisense_RNA from 1 species